CCUACGGGGGGCUUCAGUGAGGAAUAUUGGUCAAUGGGCGCGAGCCUGAACCAGCCAAGUAGCGUGAAGGAUGACUGCCCUACGGGUUGUAAACUUCUUUUAUAAAGGAAUAAAGUGAGGCACGUGUGCCUUUUUGUAUGUACUUUAUGAAUAAGGAUCGGCUAACUCCGUGCCAGCAGCCGCGGUAAUACGAAGGGUCCGAGCGUUAUCCGGAUUUAUUGGGUUUAAAGGGUGCGUAGAUGGGUUGUUAAGUCAGUUGUGAAAGUUCGCGGCUCAACCGUAAAAUUGCAAUUGAUACUGGAAGCCUUGAGUACAGUUGAGGUAGGCGGAAUUCGUGGUGUAGCGGUGAAAUGCUUAGAUAUCACGCAGAACUCCGAUUGCGAAGGCAGCUUACUAAACUGCCACUGACAUUGAUGCUCGAAAGUGUGGGUAUCAAACAGGAUUAGAUACCCCAGUAGUC
rnacentral:rRNA from 1 species